rnacentral:rRNA from 1 species
GGGUUGUGAGGUUAAGCGACUAAGCGUACACGGUGGAUGCCCUGGCAGUCAGAGGCGAUGAAGGACGUGCUAAUCUGCGAUAAGCGUCGGUAAGGUGAUAUGAACCGUUAUAACCGGCGAUUUCCGAAUGGGGAAACCCAGUGUGUUUCGACACACUAUCAUUAACUGAAUCCAUAGGUUAAUGAGGCGAACCGGGGGAACUGAAACAUCUAAGUACCCCGAGGAAAAGAAAUCAACCGAGAUUCCCCCAGUAGCGGCGAGCGAACGGGGAGCAGCCCAGAGCCUGAAUCAGUGUGUGUGUUAGUGGAAGCGUCUGGAAAGGCGUGCGAUACAGGGUGACAGCCCCGUACACAAAAAUGCACAUAUUGUGAGCUCGAUGAGUAGGGCGGGACACGUGGUAUCCUGUCUGAAUAUGGGGGGACCAUCCUCCAAGGCUAAAUACUCCUGACUGACCGAUAGUGAACCAGUACCGUGAGGGAAAGGCGAAAAGAACCCCGGCGAGGGGAGUGAAAAAGAACCUGAAACCGUGUACGUACAAGCAGUGGGAGCACGCUUAGGCGUGUGACUGCGUACCUUUUGUAUAAUGGGUCAGCGACUUAUAUUCUGUAGCAAGGUUAACCGAAUAGGGGAGCCGAAGGGAAACCGAGUCUUAACUGGGCGUUAAGUUGCAGGGUAUAGACCCGAAACCCGGUGAUCUAGCCAUGGGCAGGUUGAAGGUUGGGUAACACUAACUGGAGGACCGAACCGACUAAUGUUGAAAAAUUAGCGGAUGACUUGUGGCUGGGGGUGAAAGGCCAAUCAAACCGGGAGAUAGCUGGUUCUCCCCGAAAGCUAUUUAGGUAGCGCCUCGUGAAUUCAUCUCCGGGGGUAGAGCACUGUUUCGGCAAGGGGGUCAUCCCGACUUACCAACCCGAUGCAAACUGCGAAUACCGGAGAAUGUUAUCACGGGAGACACACGGCGGGUGCUAACGUCCGUCGUGAAGAGGGAAACAACCCAGACCGCCAGCUAAGGUCCCAAAGUCAUGGUUAAGUGGGAAACGAUGUGGGAAGGCCCAGACAGCCAGGAUGUUGGCUUAGAAGCAGCCAUCAUUUAAAGAAAGCGUAAUAGCUCACUGGUCGAGUCGGCCUGCGCGGAAGAUGUAACGGGGCUAAACCAUGCACCGAAGCUGCGGCAGCGACACUAUGUGUUGUUGGGUAGGGGAGCGUUCUGUAAGCCUGUGAAGGUGUACUGUGAGGUAUGCUGGAGGUAUCAGAAGUGCGAAUGCUGACAUAAGUAACGAUAAAGCGGGUGAAAAGCCCGCUCGCCGGAAGACCAAGGGUUCCUGUCCAACGUUAAUCGGGGCAGGGUGAGUCGACCCCUAAGGCGAGGCCGAAAGGCGUAGUCGAUGGGAAACAGGUUAAUAUUCCUGUACUUGGUGUUACUGCGAAGGGGGGACGGAGAAGGCUAUGUUGGCCGGGCGACGGUUGUCCCGGUUUAAGCGUGUAGGCUGGUUUUCCAGGCAAAUCCGGAAAAUCAAGGCUGAGGCGUGAUGACGAGGCACUACGGUGCUGAAGCAACAAAUGCCCUGCUUCCAGGAAAAGCCUCUAAGCAUCAGGUAACAUCAAAUCGUACCCCAAACCGACACAGGUGGUCAGGUAGAGAAUACCAAGGCGCUUGAGAGAACUCGGGUGAAGGAACUAGGCAAAAUGGUGCCGUAACUUCGGGAGAAGGCACGCUGAUAUGUAGGUGAAGUCCCUCGCGGAUGGAGCUGAAAUCAGUCGAAGAUACCAGCUGGCUGCAACUGUUUAUUAAAAACACAGCACUGUGCAAACACGAAAGUGGACGUAUACGGUGUGACGCCUGCCCGGUGCCGGAAGGUUAAUUGAUGGGGUCAGCGCAAGCGAAGCUCUUGAUCGAAGCCCCGGUAAACGGCGGCCGUAACUAUAACGGUCCUAAGGUAGCGAAAUUCCUUGUCGGGUAAGUUCCGACCUGCACGAAUGGCGUAAUGAUGGCCAGGCUGUCUCCACCCGAGACUCAGUGAAAUUGAACUCGCUGUGAAGAUGCAGUGUACCCGCGGCAAGACGGAAAGACCCCGUGAACCUUUACUAUAGCUUGACACUGAACAUUGAGCCUUGAUGUGUAGGAUAGGUGGGAGGCUUUGAAGUGUGGACGCCAGUCUGCAUGGAGCCGACCUUGAAAUACCACCCUUUAAUGUUUGAUGUUCUAACGUUGACCCGUAAUCCGGGUUGCGGACAGUGUCUGGUGGGUAGUUUGACUGGGGCGGUCUCCUCCUAAAGAGUAACGGAGGAGCACGAAGGUUGGCUAAUCCUGGUCGGACAUCAGGAGGUUAGUGCAAUGGCAUAAGCCAGCUUGACUGCGAGCGUGACGGCGCGAGCAGGUGCGAAAGCAGGUCAUAGUGAUCCGGUGGUUCUGAAUGGAAGGGCCAUCGCUCAACGGAUAAAAGGUACUCCGGGGAUAACAGGCUGAUACCGCCCAAGAGUUCAUAUCGACGGCGGUGUUUGGCACCUCGAUGUCGGCUCAUCACAUCCUGGGGCUGAAGUAGGUCCCAAGGGUAUGGCUGUUCGCCAUUUAAAGUGGUACGCGAGCUGGGUUUAGAACGUCGUGAGACAGUUCGGUCCCUAUCUGCCGUGGGCGCUGGAGAACUGAGGGGGGCUGCUCCUAGUACGAGAGGACCGGAGUGGACGCAUCACUGGUGUUCGGGUUGUCAUGCCAAUGGCACUGCCCGGUAGCUAAAUGCGGAAGAGAUAAGUGCUGAAAGCAUCUAAGCACGAAACUUGCCCCGAGAUGAGUUCUCCCUGACUCCUUGAGAGUCCUGAAGGAACGUUGAAGACGACGACGUUGAUAGGCCGGGUGUGUAAGCGCAGCGAUGCGUUGAGCUAACCGGUACUAAUGAACCGUGAGGCUUAACCUUACAACGCCGAAG